UACGGAAAGUAGUAUAGUUGGUAUGGUUACUCCUUGGAGUCGGGUUGCUUGAAAGUGCAGCCUAAAGUUGGUGAUAAACUUCAUCUAAGGCUAAAUAUCGACGCGAAAUCGAUAGCAAACAAGUACCGUGAGGGAAAGUUGCAAAGAACUUUGAAGAGAGAGUUCAAGAGAACGUGAAAUCGCUGAAGUGGAACCGGAGAGAGUUAACAUAACUUGGUAGCUAUAUCCUCUAAAGUCGCUUAACUGUGGCUCUGGGGGGUGGACGCUACCUGUUGUUGCACUGACUGCGUUGAUUGUGCUUUCCGAACAGUAUAGUGUUGCCCACUUUGUGGUGUCUUGCUUUCUGGGAGGUUUGUCAUAAUUAACGUAAAGCCAAUUCCCUUUGGAGUCAGUGUGAAAGUUAACCACCUUUCCGACCCGUCUUGAAACACGGACCGAGGAGUGUAAUUUAUACGCGAGUCAAGGGGUGGUGAAAACCCUAGGGGCGGAAUGAAAGUAAAGGCCGGUUAACCGGUUGACAUGGGAUCCGCUCUUCGGAGCGGCGCACCAUGGCCCUGUCUUGUCUGCUUGCAGAUGGGCAGCGGUAGAGCGUAUAGUUUGCGACCCGAAAGAUGGUGAACUAUGCUUGAGCAGGACGAAGCCAGAGGAAACUCUGGUGGAAGUCCGUAUCGGUUCUGACGUGCAAAUCGAUCGAUAGA
rnacentral:rRNA from 1 species